rnacentral:tRNA from 1 species
GGGCGAUUAUCUCAGUUGGUAGAGCGUCUCGUUUACACCGAGAAUGUCGGCGGUUCGAGCCCGUCAUUGUCCACCG